CCUACGGGUGGCAGCAGUGGGGAAUAUUGCACAAUGGGGGAAACCCUGAUGCAGCGACGCCGCGUGAGUGAAGAAGUAAUUCGUUAUGUAAAGCUCUAUCAGCAGGGAAGAAAAUGACGGUACCUGAGUAAGAAGCACCGGCUAACUACGUGACAGCAGCCGCGGUAAUAAGUAGGGGGCAAGCGUUAUCCGGAUUUAAUGGGUGAAAAGGGAGCGUAGACGGCAGUGCAAGUCUGGAGUGAAAGGCGGGGGCUCAAACCCCGGACUGCGCUGGAAACUGGAGGGCAGGAGUGCAGGAGGGGUAAGUUGAAUUCCUAGUGGAGCGGUGAAAUGCGUAGAUAUUAGGAGGAACACCAGUGGCGAAGGCGGCUUACUGGACUGUAACUGACGUGGAGGCUCGAAAGCGUGGGGAGCAAACAGGAUUAGAUACCCGUGUAGUC
rnacentral:rRNA from 1 species